rnacentral:lncRNA from 1 species
GAGGGAGGAGUGUGUUUCCUGGCGGAGCGAUAUUUGUUUACAGGAUGAGAUCUAUACUGUAAGUAAAGUAGGACCGAGCAAAGGCAGUUCUGUAAUAAAUUAGUUUAAAUUGCAUCAUCGACGCCCCCCCAAAAGGGAAAACUUGUGCCCAGUCCGGCCAGGUCUGUGCUCCCGGAUCCUGCAUGCACUUGUUGCAGAUUUACACCAGGUUCCAAGAGGACAUUGUGGUUGACAUGGUUUAAACAGCAGAACUGAUGGGCAACUGGUGUUUUUAAAUUGAAACAUCAUGGCUAAUAU